CUCUUCCUCUUUGAAGUAAAAUGCCAAAUUUCUUUAUCAAUGGCAGUGCUCUGAAUACCUGACCAUACCAUUCUGGUAAACAUAUCGAUCUUCACACCACAAAUAGGUCAAUAUUCACGAAAAUGCUAUGCAACUUUUACCUUUGUUUUUAAAUUUCGAUUGUCUCCACUCCAUCUUUUUCUGCUCGGAUCUGCCCAGAUCACGUGAAGCUUGACCAAAGAGUAAUGUUUAAAUUUCAAAACACAUCUUUCUCAACUCAAGAUCCCGCCCAAAAUACAAAGCUUAGGGCUUAUAAUCUCAUCUAUAAAUGUUUCCCCUGUUUUGCCUUUGAAGGGGACGUUUUCUUUGGGUUUGCUAAAAGAAUCAUCCGACAAGCUUUCACACUCACAAAAAGCAACACAUUUAUACAUUUUAAUAUUGCUUACAAAGAAUUUUCGUUUCUCCUCUUUGUUGCACUUGACUUUUUAUGAAGAACGAAGAUAGAUUUGAGGCUGAUAACGUCCCUAGUUUACUGCACUACAAAAGCCGGCGAGUCUAGUUUUGAAACUCAACGACACCGCUACCGCAUAGAGCUCGCAUAUACCUCACAUGGAAUUGAUCAUAUACAUUUCUUUCACACUACAUCUAUUCGCUUUUCCUAUUUUCAGAGACGUGUCCGGAUAAAAUGAGACAUUAUAGUUAA